UAGAGGUGAGGAGAUGAAAAGGUGACAAGAAUGUGUGGUAGAGGUGAGGAGAUGAAAAGGAGACAAGAAGGUGUGGUAGAGGUGAGGAGAUGAAAAGGAGACAAGAAGGUGUGGUAGAGGUGAGGAGAUGAAAAGGAGACAAGAAGGUGU